AUGCAUAGGAAUGAAAUGCAUUCACAAGAAUGAUCCUUAAUUUUAAAAAAUUACAAACUUGAAAGCUAUAUAUAGUCACAAUACAUCAUUCUUUUCUAUCUGAUUCUUAUAACAUUCAUUUAGUUGUUAGCCAUAAUAACAACUAUUACAAUGUUGUGUCAAACAUUAAACUAUUACAAUGUUAUAAUAAUUAAUACUUAUAAUAUAGUAAUGAGAAAUGUCCUUAUGGUUUCAUUCUUUAAUCAUCCACUUCUUCUCUAUUCCUUUGAACAGCUCCAAAAUAUUCAACCAAUAUAUCAGCCACAACAGGAACCAAGUCCUUACAAGGCACACCUUUCUUAUAAACUUCACCAAGAUGAGAAUCACUUCCAAUUCUCCCACCAAGGAAAAUAUCAGCACCUUCAACAACUUUACCAUUCUCAUCUCUAGUCAUGCAUCCCAUAAAACCAAUAUCAGCAACCUGAACCUGACCACAUGUGUUAGGACAACCAGUCCAAUGCAUUCUAACUGGUCUUGCUACUGCCACUUGUCUCUCAACUUCUUCUGUCACUUUCAAAGCUCUUGCUUUUGUCUCGAUUAUCGCUUGGCCGCAAAACUGGUUACCGGUGCACGCUACGAGUGUUUUCAUUAGGAUGGAUGGUUCUGGUGAGAAUUUUUGCUUCAAGAGUGGCUCUUUGAGUAAUGCAUCAAGUUUUGAGUUGGCUACAUUUGGAAUUAUUAUGUUUUGUUCCACGGUUAGUCGGAGUUCGCCUGAUCCGUAUUCGUCCGAGAUACGCGCUAGCUCGUCCAUUUCGUCGGCUUGGAUUCUACCAACUGGAAUGUGGAGGCCAACAUAGCUUAGACCUUGUUGUUUCUGUGGAUGAACACCUAAGAUGUCUCUUCUUUCCCAUUGUUUUUGAACUAGUUCCUCUUUGGAUGCUCUCUCUAGUUUCUUCAUUGGCAUUCUUUUUUCAACCUCUGACCUAAAUACUUCUAUCCCCUGCAAAAAAUUCUUCAAAUGAGCAAAACUUCUAUAAUCUCUAAAAUUGAAAAUUUUAUGUUUCUUUAGUGACACUAAUGUUCAGCGGUGUCAGUUCAGUGGUAAGAGUUUGAACCUAUAACCUCGAAGGACCGAAGACUAUUGUAAAAUAGUUUUUAGUGCGAUUUAAUCGACGACAAACCUACAAAUGAAUCAUCUCAUUUAUGUAUAUAUUUGCUACUAAAAGAAAAGUGGUAGUAACUUACAAGUUCAUCAAUCAACCACAUCAUUCUGGUUUUCUGUCUAUUCCCUCUUGUGCCAAGAUCUCUAUAGGUCUCAAGAACAGCUUUACAAAGUGGAAUAACAUCAUCUGCAGAGACCCAAGCGUCAAGCGGAACAGCUUCCGCGCAUCGCUUGGGGCUAAAGAAACCCCCCACCAACAAAUUGAAUCCAAAUCUACCUUCCUCAUUCUUAGCAGGCAUGUAAGCAAGAUCAUUAAUAUGCGGAUGCUCGAAAAGAUCAUGCGAACCUAUCACACAUACAUUCCACUUCCUCGGCCUACACAUAUAUCAUCAAAAUUAAACGAGACUUAUUUGAGUUUAUCUACUGACAUAAACACUCGUCAUAAAAGUGUAGACUUACAAGUUUGUUAUGGUUGUGUUGCCAAGUGAGUUUGCAGUGAUGAAUUGUGAUAACAAAUUUGUGUAAGGUCUUGUAUCAACAAUCUCAUAAGGGUCAAUACCAGCAAGAGGGUUACCAACAGGGUUUCUCACAUUGUCCAUUCCACUUUGUAAGCUUGUCAAUCCAACCUCAGCAAGACCCUUCAGAAUUUCAGGUACAUCAGGUAACACUACACCUCGUAUUUGCCAAUUCUGUCUUGUUGUAACAUCAGCACACCCAUCUUUGCCGUAUUUUCUAAUCACACUCGCUAAGUAUCGUGUUUGAGCACUCGUCGUUACUCCAUUCGGAAGCUUCAGUCUCAUCAUAAAUCUACCAUCUAGUAUAAAGUGUAGAAAGAAAGUAAAAAACUAAGUUUGAAUUUGAGUUAACUUGUAAAGAAAGUAAACAAAAAAAACAAAAAGCUUACAAUGAUGUUUUCUUCUGUGAAAAAGGCCAAGCCAUUUGAGUCUAACAUCGAUAUCAUCUUUGGUGAGUUUAGAGCUUUCGAUAUCUUCAAGAGACAUAUUAGCCAAAUCAUCGAUUCCACCUUCCAUGAAAAGCUUCAUGGGCUCUUUCUGAAUCUUGAUUUUUUCCUGAGGAUUGAUGCCUCCUCUGUAUUCUUCCUUCAAGACCCAGUAGCCAUCUUUUUCCUCGACUCUAGGGUCCAACCUUGAUGCAUCGAGUUGUGUUGAAAGAGGUGCAAGUGAUGGAGUUGCAGCUGAUAGCUUCCAUGUGUGUUUGGGACGAGAGAUGGAGGGAGGGGUGAGAAAACGAACAGAGAAGGAAGACAUUUGAACUUGGAAGGAUGGAAAAGAGAGUGUGUUGGGAAAGAGAGAAAUUUGGACAUUUUUGUAGGAUGAGAUUAUGAGGAAGAGAAUGAAAUGAGGACCUUACGAGUAAGCAAGAGGUUGUUUGUGAACUACAUGAUGGUCCUUUGGUUGAUGCUAAGGGUCGCCUUAGUAUGUAGUGAUUGAGGAUGAUUGUCCUUACUUGUCCUAAAUUAUUUGUAAAGUCACAUGUUGUGCCAAAGUCAAAAUAAAAAGGUUCACUACAUUAAUGAAUAUAAAAUGAUGUGGCAACUCAUUAAUCAUUUGUAUAAAUUGUUUAAUCAUGAUGUUACAUUUCGAUAAUUUGUUUUUACUAAUAGUAUGUGGCUAGAGUUUCAGCUACUAAAGAUGAAUAAGAUGAAUAAUAUUAACUGAUAUGGUUAACCGGAAUUAAAUGUCUGUUAAUUUUUAAAUAUAUAUUUGAAUACAAAGUUUAUAGUUAAUAAUAUUAUUUAUAUUUCAAAUAAAAUACGUUUUUUUGAAAUAAUUAGGAAAAUUGAUAUGACAUUGUCUAGUCAUUUGUUCAUUUACAUGUAUUGGUGAUGGUUUUUAGAGAGUUCCAUCAUCAAUUAUUCUUUGAUAGUUGUAAGUUGGUGUACCUUAAACUACCAAUAACCUAGUUUAGACUGACUCGAAUUUAUCAUAUGUUGUGAAAGUCAUUGGAUUUUUUUAUCAUGACUUCAACUUUGUCUUUUGAAAAUCGAAAUGUAUUGUGAUAAUUCUCUUCUACCUUAAAGAAAUUAAAUCAGAGGAGGGAAAGGCAGGGUAGUUGGGGUGAGUUGAGGCAAGCAUAUGGCUAGCACCUAUCGCCGUCCAAAGUUGGGGUUACAGACGUCCAUAGAUCAUAAUGUGUGUUCAUUGGUUAUAUCUUCCACUCUUUUGUCGAAUCAUUCGACCUCUAUUGGACUAGGGUAAAAAUCAUUUGUUGCCCACUCACGAAAUAUGAGAUUGGCGUAUCCUUGGGCACUACAUUGAGGCUCAGUCAAAGGAGGGAAACCAUGUCCUCCCGAAGAAAAUGGGGGGAAAUAACAUUUUCACGCUCUUAAGAGGGGUGGAAUAAUCACCUAAUGUGUCCAAGGAUUCAGGUCCCAUAGACCUCUAUAAAAUCCUCAAUCGUAGAGUUGAGAAGGACAUUCAAUUCAGUCUAAAAUAACAUAGAUAUAAAGCUUCUGACAAUCCAUGUGUGACCUUCCUCUAUAUCAACAACAACAACCCUAAAACCCUCAGAAAAUCCUACACAAUUAGGGGUUAUCACUCAUUGUAAAUUUACCAAGUAAAUCCACCAAUAUCCCAUUAUAUGGUUCAAUGAUUGUAGUAUAUAAUCUAAUGUGCUUAUUGACCUCAUUGAAUAUGAUAUCGGUUGAACUAAUUUGGUAGAUCAAACUCAUUUACACGUUACAACUCACCAUAUCUUUUGAGGUGACCCAUUAGGUAAGUCUAAUUUUUAUGUUAGGGCGUCAAUCGGAUUUGAAGCUCAAUGAUGUAUUUUCAUGUGUUAUUGGAAGAUCUUUUUCCCUAAGUUCUCUUAAGAUAAGGUUUAAAUAUUUGAUUAAGGUGUUGAUCUUCUACUAUUGUAGAUAAGGUCAAAUAUGUAUUAAUUAUAUAACAAUUGUAGAAAUUUAAUGUUUUUAAUUUUGAAAAAAGCCAAUAAAAAUAUUAUUACUAAAUUAAGACUAUCUCAGAAGAAGGAUUACAAAAGAUAGUGCCAACAAAAGUGAACUUACAACAUACAAUAUUCAGAGACGGGAACAAACAAAUACAAGACAUCAAAAGUUGAUGUGCCUUAAGCAACUUAAAGGGUUGAACCUCCAAAUAUUUAAGACAUGCUUAAAGUUGUUUUUUUUUACCUGAGCCACCACUAAGUCGUGAUUUUGAUUUAACAAAAAUCUCCACAACUAAUGAUUUUUUCUCACCAAAUAAUCUCUUAUUUCAUUACUUUCGUAAAACACAAGCAAUCGUCAAUCAAAUGACAUGAAAGUCUUUGAGAAUCUCCUUUAUAUAAGAGAUAAGGAUGGAAAAAAAUAUGUUUGAACCCUUGGGUCAUUAGGAUAUGCACAACAAAUGUCCAGUCACUUCAAAAUGUUGUAUCAUAUCCCCAAACAAAGAGCACUCGAAAAAUAUGUGACUUAAAUGUUCAUUCUUUCUACAACCUCUUAAGCAUCUUAAAGAUUCAUUAUUAAAGAUCCAACAUUGAUUCAAGUUGUAUUUAAUUGUAAGUCUAUUACAUAAGAGUUUCCAUGAGAGCAAGGAAACUUUCAUUAGAACUAACUCGUUCCAAACACUAUCAAUAAGGACUAUAUAAUCAGCCUCUAAAUCCUAGGUAAGUACUCGUCAAUCAAAUGACAUGAAAGCCUUUACGAAUCUCCUUUGUAUCAGAGAUAAGGCUGCAAAACAGAGAUGUGUGAACCCUUGGGUCAUUAGGAUAUGCAAAACAAAUGUACAACCGCUUCAAAACAUUGUAUCAUAUCCCCCCAAAGAAAUAGCACUAAAAAAAUUAGGUGACUUAAAUUUUCAUUCUUUCCGCAACCUCCUAAGAAUCUUAAGGAAUCAUUGCUAAUGAUCUCACAUCGAUUCAAAUUUUCUUUAAUCAAAAGCCUAUUACAUAAGAGUUUCCAUGCAAACAAGGAAACUUUCAACGGGACUAACUCUAUCUAAACACUGUCAAUAAGGACUCGAGAAUCAACCUCUAAAUCUUGGGUAAGCAUUCAAUAAAUAUUUUUGACAUGAUUCUCACCAUCAAUAAUAAGAAACCAAAUUCAUAUGUCUACUUUGAUAUCUUACAAAAAAAUGUCUCAAAGACAAUACAAAAAUCUAAAAGUAAUUCUUCCUUCCAUGCAAAUAGACUGUGUAUCCGCCUCCAACAAUCACCAUUCACCUCCCACCCCCAUCUGCACAUAUCAGUCACCGACGCCUUUUUAACUUGAGAAAGUUCAUACAACUUAAUGAAUUUAUCUCUCAACAAUGUUCCAUACAUCCCAAAAUCUUUCCAAAAGUAAGUGAUUUUGUCAUCCCCACCUCCCUAAAAAGAUACUCUUAAAACCACUUAUCCUUAGACACACCUACUCCUUCUCUAAUAAAAUUCAAAUUUUUCCAUCACCUUGACGUCUUUCUCCCACCAUCUUACACCUUAUUUUACACUACCAUAUUUAUGUAUCAUAACUCUAAACCACAAACCCUAUUAAUCUAAUAUAAGUCUCCGACAUCAUUUUCCUAUAAGAGAAAUUUGAACUCAUGUAUCCUCCUCAUCCCUAAGCCUCCCUCGUCUCGAUCAAGAAAAUAUUCAAUUUUAGAAAUAAUAACUACUAUAGCCUUGAAGAAAGAAAGAAAUUAAAUUGGGAAAGAAUGUGAGACAGAUUUUAGUAAGACAAAUCUACCACCCAUAGAUAAUUGACGACCUUCAGAGCCUUUUUCUUAUUCUAUCAAUCAUGAGCAUCCAAAAAGAUAAUUUGCGAGAAUUUCCUCCAAUUGGGAGGCCAAGAUAAGUAAAUGGUGAAUCCAUAAUCUUACAAUUAAGAAUAUGUGUCACUUUAACUAGUCAAAACUGAGAAACAUUAACAUCUACCAAAUGGUUUUUAUGAAAAUUUACUUUGAGUCCUAGAAACAACUCAAACAAUCUUAAGUUGGCUUUGGUUGCUCUUAUGUUACACAAUUGUUCUCAUCCAAGAUUAAGGUAUCAUCUGCAAAUUAUAAAUGUGAUAAUUUGAUUAGAUUGACUGCCUCAACUUGAUACUCAGAGUACAACCCGAUAUUGACGAAAGCUUUUAACAUCAAAUUAAGAUCUUUGCUAGCUAUAAAAAAACAAAAAAAAAAAAGGAGAAAGAGGGCCACAUUUCCUCAAUUAUCUUCCCAAUCUGAGUUCUUCUAUUGGACAACUUUUGACAAGAGCUGAUGAUGAAGGUGGACUCAAGCACUCCUUAAUCCAACAUCUCCACUUAUUAGAGAAGUUCAUCUUAACCAUAUUUUUUUCUAGAUAACCCCACUCAAUAGGGUCAUAAGCAUUUUUGAAGUCUCCCUUAAAUAUAAUAAGUUAUUUUUUUAGUCUUUUUAACAUCGUCAACCACUUCAUUAGUAAUAAGAAUAUCGUCUAGAAUUUGUCAACCCUUCACGAAAGCGGAUUGCGUAACUAAGAUAAGAUUACUAAUUACCAGUUUCAUUCAGUUUACCAAAAUCUUUGAAAAAAAAAGAUGAUAAUCUAAAAGACUCUAAGAAUUGGAUUUUUUUUAAAAGUCAAAGUUAUAAAACUACUAUUUGAUCUUUUCACAAGUUUAUCAUUUCUAUGAAACUCGUGCAAUAAUCUCAUAAAAGCACUUUUUAAUAUCUUUUCAAAACUCUCAAAAACUCGAAAUUGAGACCACCAAACCCUACGAUUUAAAACUAGCACAAUUUAACAUUGUAUUUCUCAUUUCAUAUUCAUCAAACAAACUCACUAAAGAAGUAGAAACUUGAUGUUAAAUUUGUGUGUAAAGGUAUUAUUCAUUAACAUGUCAUCCAAACUAAUUCAAAAUUAAUUUAAAAGUUAAAUUUAUUCUUAAAAAAUGAGGUGUAAAAAAUUACAGGUCAUUUAAAGAUUAGAAAACGAAUAUGUAUCCACUGUGGGUACUCACUUAUUAAUACUUUUUUAUUAUUACAUACAAAUGAGAGUUAGUAUUGAAAAACGCAUGACGUGUAAUUUCAAAGAACAACGGAAGUAUACGUUACCACGAAAGAAGAAUAAAAAAAUAACAAGGCAACAUGAAAUUGAACACGAACGUCAUGUUUACAACUGGGCCAUGUUUAUUUGGUACUCAUAAUGAGAUGUACUAUAACGCAAUCUCUGUCAACUAAGAAUAUCGUCUACUAUAUUUUGUACACAGAUUCAAAUACAAAAAUAUUGUUAUACUAUUAAAUUAACUUUUUUAAUACUGUACUAUAUUGGAAAUAUUAGAAGUAGUAGUGUAUUAAAGUUGUUCAGUGUUGGCCUCUCUUGGAUAUUGAGUUACUAGUCGCCGCAUAAAUGAGAGGGGAGACAAACCAGGUAUAGCCAUAGUAUGGCAUGCUCCCAAGUGGAUUGGUGAAGGAUAAAUAAUUACAUAACCUUAUGGGGUUUCCAAGAGUCAAAUUAGCCUUUACUAACACAGCUGAAUUAAAUAGUGGAUAUCUAAUUUUGACAUAAAAUGGAUUUUGGACAUUAUUCUCAGGUAAUUGAUAUUUGAAGACUAUAGGUGAGUCACUAGUAUUGUUGUUUGGCUACUAUAGAUCCGUUAUUUACAAGGCUAAUGCUAACAUGUGUUCUUGGGGCACAAGUUAAUGAUACAUUUAUAGAAAUAUUUUCUUGGAAUUCGUGUAUUUGUUAAAAUUUUGUUUUAUUCGAUACAAAUUUUUUUAAUAGUAGUAACCUUAACUUGUGCCCCAAGGACAUAAGUUAGCAAAACCCUAUUUACUAAAGGGACAACUUCGUUACCCUUAAACAAAUAAUUUGUCUCAUUUAUAUUGGCUUAGAAAUAUACAAUUUGACAUGUCGUUAAGAAACUAGCAUUUUUUAAAUAUGACAAGAUCUUUUUUUGGAAAUAAUAGAUCCACCCACGUAUCAUUAAGAAAAUACCAGUUCUCAAUGCUAGCUAGUUUCUAAGGCUUGCAGCUUUAUCAGAAGGAUUUUAUGAUUGAAAAGUUUUCAUUGAAAAACUUUAAUCUUUAUAAAGGAGGUUUGUGGAAAUAUUAUGUUAAAAAAUUUCAAGAUAGGGAAAACUUUAAAAGAUGAAGAAAUUUUUACUCAAAUAUUCUAUUCUUUUAAAAGAAUUCUUAAAAUAAUCUAAUUUUCAAAAAAAAUCUCAAAUUAUCUCAGUAUUAAAAAAAACUCUAAGACAUAGGUGUCAGAUCAAUUGACGUCUACCCUUAAAUUUCAAGUGGAGACUCCAAUUGGAUUGACUAUAGCACAUGGUGUUGUCAAUCCAAUUGGCGCUCAUGUGUUAUUUGGAAGAGGAGACGCCAAUUGGUCUGGCGUCUCAGUGUAAUGUGAAUUUUUUUUGUUAUAAAUAGAUGUGUUGUGUGAUUCAUUUUUUCACAUCUCAUUUCGUCAUAUUGCAAACAUGUUUGGUGUCAUUGUCGCUAUGGAAAAGUGAUUUAUUCGAGAGAUAAGCCUCUGAUGUUGAUGCUCUUCUGGAACAUCUGUAGUUUCGAUUAACUGAAGAGGAAAUUGGUUCGUUGGUUAGAUGAAAAAAUAUCAUAAGGGAAAAAAAUUAGAAGUAUUGAGAGACUCGAUAGUUUAUUUGGUUGGGUGCGAGUUAAAACUGAUAAGGAUGCUAGAGAAAUGAUGUUUGGACGAGAUGACAUCAGUUUGAUUGUUGUAAUCAGUUAAAAAUGUUAUGUUUUAAGUUUGCUUAUGUUGUAGUGAUGUUUAUUGUUAACCUUAUUGUAACAAAAAGAUAAUGAUAUAUAAAAAUCCAAGGUUACAAAAAGAUUAUGAUGCAGAUGUUGCUCCUAGAUUGGGACAUUUGUUCUUAUUGUGUCCUGGUUGACGACAUAUACUACAUAAUCUUAUCAUUUUACCAGUCGUAUCCAUUUCUGUUCUAAUACGCGUGUUGUUUGGUCAUCCUUUUUUCUUUCUUCGCAUCUCAUCCCUGUGUCAAACUAUGUCACCUUCAUAUGGAGGUCAGUAUUCCUCCAUUGGUAGCACUGAGAAGCUUUUGUUAUACACAUUCAUGACGGUAAUGGCCUUGUAAACAUCAAAUAGAUGGUUGUAAGCAUCCUGAUGAGUAUGUGCGCAUGCCGCAAUGACAUGGGAACAAGUAAUACGGAAGACCUGGAACUUUCCGCAAUCACACCAACUUCUGUUUAGUUUGACAGCAAUAGGAUAAAUUUGGCCUCCCCUCAUUAUGGUCCAUUGUUUCCUGUACACUGAAAAUUUGCCUAUGACGGUCAAAGAUUGUAACCGCGUGUGCGCUACUUUGAUACUUUCAUUUUUCAUCACUUUCAUACAACAUUCACUGAAUAUUUGACUCGACAUUAUCAUUGCACUCCAUCUUUCACCUCUGGUUGCGAAGGUAGAAGCCAACCUAAAAUAGGUUGUUCUGACCAAAAUGGUUAUUGGUAGAUUUAUAAUGUCUUUGAAUACGUCGUUCAUGCAUUCCACAAGGUUUGUUGUCAUGUGGCCCCAUCGACAACCUCUGUCAAAUGCCCUUGUCCACUACUCUACUAGUAUGUUAUCCACCCAUCUUCCUGCAUCUGCAUUAGACAAUCUAAUUUCAUCACGAUAAUGUUGAAAUGACGACUGAGUUAGAGCAUACCCUGCAUUCACCACUUUUUUGCGAAGGUUCUUAUCUUUGAUUGCACGCAUGAUGUUUUGUGCGAUAUGUCUAAUACAACAGACAUGGGUAGAAGGAGGUUCAUACCAUCCGUUAUCAUGGUUUUUGUAAACACUUUCAAUGGAAGCAUGUCUAUCUGAAAUCAAACAGAGAUUGACUUGUGGAGCGGCAUGUGUUCUGAGAUGUCGAAGGAAGAAACCCCAACCACCAGCGGUUUCACCUUCAACCAGAGCAAAGGCAAUGGGAAAGACAUUAUUAUUGUCGUCUUAUGCGACAACCAUAAGCAAAGUAUCCUUGUAUUUGUCGUAUAACCAUGUUCCAUCAAUUUGAAUAAUAGGUUUGCAGAAU
rnacentral:lncRNA from 1 species